rnacentral:rRNA from 1 species
CUUUUACAAUGAAGAGUUUGAUCCUGGCUCAGGAUGAACGCUAGCUACAGGCUUAACACAUGCAAGUCGAGGGGCAUCAGGAAGAAAGCUUGCUUUCUUUGCUGGCGACCGGCGCACGGGUGAGUAACACGUAUCCAACCUGCCCUUUACUCGGGGAUAGCCUUUCGAAAGAAAGAUUAAUACCCGAUAGUAUAAUGAUUCCGCAUGGUUUCAUUAUUAAAGGAUUCCGGUAAAGGAUGGGGAUGCGUUCCAUUAGGUUGUUGGUGAGGUAACGGCCCACCAAGCCUUCGAUGGAUAGGGGUUCUGAGAGGAAGGUCCCCCACAUUGGAACUGAGACACGGUCCAAACUCCUACGGGAGGCAGCAGUGAGGAAUAUUGGUCAAUGGGCGAUGGCCUGAACCAGCCAAGUAGCGUGAAGGAUGACUGCCCUAUGGGUUGUAAACUUCUUUUAUAUUAGAAUAAAGUGCAGUAUGUAUACUGUUUUGUAUGUAUAAUAUGAAUAAGGAUCGGCUAACUCCGUGCCAGCAGCCGCGGUAAUACGGAGGAUCCGAGCGUUAUCCGGAUUUAUUGGGUUUAAAGGGAGCGUAGGUGGACUGGUAAGUCAGUUGUGAAAGUUUGCGGCUCAACCGUAAAAUUGCAGUUGAUACUGUCAGUCUUGAGUACAGUAGAGGUGGGCGGAAUUCGUGGUGUAGCGGUGAAAUGCUUAGAUAUCACGAAGAACUCCGAUUGCGAAGGCAGCUCACUGGACUGCAACUGACACUGAUGCUCGAAAGUGUGGGUAUCAAACAGGAUUAGAUACCCUGGUAGUCCACACAGUAAACGAUGAAUACUCGCUGUUUGCGAUAUACAGUAAGCGGCCAAGCGAAAGCAUUAAGUAUUCCACCUGGGGAGUACGCCGGCAACGGUGAAACUCAAAGGAAUUGACGGGGGCCCGCACAAGCGGAGGAACAUGUGGUUUAAUUCGAUGAUACGCGAGGAACCUUACCCGGGCUUAAAUUGCAGUGGAAUGAUGUGGAAACAUGUCAGUGAGCAAUCACCGCUGUGAAGGUGCUGCAUGGUUGUCGUCAGCUCGUGCCGUGAGGUGUCGGCUUAAGUGCCAUAACGAGCGCAACCCUUAUCUUCAGUUACUAACAGGUCAUGCUGAGGACUCUGGAGAGACUGCCGUCGUAAGAUGUGAGGAAGGUGGGGAUGACGUCAAAUCAGCACGGCCCUUACGUCCGGGGCUACACACGUGUUACAAUGGGGGGUACAGAAGGCAGCUACCUGGUGACAGGAUGCUAAUCCCAAAAGCCUCUCUCAGUUCGGAUCGAAGUCUGCAACCCGACUUCGUGAAGCUGGAUUCGCUAGUAAUCGCGCAUCAGCCACGGCGCGGUGAAUACGUUCCCGGGCCUUGUACACACCGCCCGUCAAGCCAUGGGAGCCGGGGGUACCUGAAGUACGUAACCGCAAGGAGCGUCCUAGGGUAAAACUGGUGACUGGGGCUAAGUCGUAACAAGGUAGCCGUACCGGAAGGUGCGGCUGGAACACCUCCUUUCU